UACGUAGGGUGCAAGCGUUGUCCGGAAUUAUUGGGCGUAAAGCGCACGUAGGCGGAUCGUUAAGUCGGGGGUGAAAUCCUGGAGCUCAACUCCAGAACUGCCUUCGAUACUGGCGAUCUUGAGUCCGGAAGAGGUGAGUGGAACUCCUAGUGUAGAGGUGGAAUUCGUAGAUAUUAGGAAGAACACCAGUGGCGAAGGCGGCUCACUGGUCCGGUACUGACGCUGAGGUGCGAAAGCGUGGGGAGCAAACAGG
rnacentral:rRNA from 1 species